rnacentral:tRNA from 1 species
GGUGGCUCAAUGGUAGAGCACUUGCCUUGCAUGCAAGAGGCCCUGGGUUCCAUUCCUCAGCACCA